GCUCUGAGAAAAAAAGAAAAAAAAAAUCCUCUGAAUGAGGAUCUAGGACCAGCAUUAGAUCUCCGUCGAGCCUCCGUUCUCAGGCGGUCACGUGCCAACGCGCCACUGCGAACGCCGCCACGUAUGACGGCCGGAAACUAGAAAGUUUCCUUUCUCCGACGCGAAUAAAAAAAAGAUGUCUCGCGAGAAAUCCGGUGAUGGAAGGGUCGCUAGCGUUGAUGGAGGCCUGAAGUCUGGUGGUGGUAUCGGUGAGGCACUGAUUACGGAGGCAGAGCCUUGAGUGAUGGCCUCGAUUGGGGAGCUGGACAGACGCUCCCCAAACCUUCCAAAACUUGUUGCGGGGCGACGGGAAAGAGAGGCAGAAACCCUAGGGUUUCAUGCCUCGAUGUAAUGGUUUGGGCCAGUUGGGCCACUAUUGUUUGGGUCUAAUUUAGGUCUGCUGAGUAGUAACCGAGUAAAUGGGUUUUGGGCUAAUUGGGUUACAGGUGUAACGGGCUUUGGGCUUAUUAGGCUUUGAGGCCUGUUUAUUUGUAAAUGGACAUUUUAAAUAAACACUUAUUUAUUUAA